rfam:Myotis lucifugus cont2.22427, whole genome shotgun sequence.
GAGACACCCUUAUGGGGCAGGACUUGCUUCAGUGGGGCUUUGGUGCUCACUGAGUCUUCCCCCUGAGUGUGUCUCU